AAAUCCCAGGGGAAAACAUUGCAAGAUCGGGGCUCUUCAAUGCUCUCUUGGGAAUGCAAGUCAGCACAAUAGCAGAAUCACUCUGCAGAGUGUUGAAAUUGCCACCCUAACUAAGGAAAUCCAAAGGAAAAUAAGGCCUGAAUAAGAACCUGGAAUCCUCCUGCUCUGAGCUGGAUCAAGGACCAAAGGGAAACCUACUGGUUGUGAGUGCUUCUGUUUCACUGACUCUUGAUCACCAGCCACUGGGUCUGCUUCUACCAGCAAUUUAUGGCUCCUGCAGCUUCUCUGAGAACAGGAGCUCACUAAGUUGCCUAGUCUUGGCUCAAACUUGCCAUCUUCCUACUUCAGCCUCCCAGAAUGCUAUGAUUAGAGAUCUGGCUGAAAGCAGCCAGGAGUGUCCGUGCUACAUUCUGAACAUGGAGCUGUCUUGAAAUCUCUUCCACCAGAUCAAUUAGUCCACCACCUGCAAAUCAGCACUCAGAAGGCUGAGACAGGAGGAUCAUGAUUAUGAAGCCAGACCAACUUACGUAGAAAGAGGGGUUCAAUCUAGAGUUGGCUGGCUCCAAGGCAGUACUAGCAUGGCAGAAGGGCAUGGUGGACAAAAGUUGUUUAUAUCAUGGAAGCUGGGAAGCAGAAAGAAACAAGAGGAUCCAGGAACAAGAGCACACCUUCCAGAGCCAGAGAUUUAGCUCAGUGAUUCUGUCACCUGCCUCGCAAGCUCAAGGUCCCAAGUUUGAUCCCUGGUACCCCCCCCAAAAAAAAACCUAAAUAAAUAAAUAAAUAAAAUGAGAA
ensembl:lncRNA